rnacentral:rRNA from 1 species
AUUGAAAGCUGGCGGCAGGCCUAACACAUGCAAGUCGAGCGAGCGGCGGAAGGGUGAGUAAUGUCUGGGAAACUUCCUGAUGGAGAGGGAUAACUACUGGAAAAGGUAGCUAAUACCGCAAACCAUCAGCUAUGCCCAGAUGGGAUGAGCUAGUAGGUGGGGGAACGGCUCACCUAGGGGACGAUCCCUCGCUGGUCUGAGCGGAUGACCAGCAACACGGGAACUGAGACACGGUCCAGACCCUUACGGUAGGUAGCAGUGGGGAAUAUUGCACAAUGGGCGAAAGCCGGAUGCAGCCAUGCAGCGUGUGUGAAUAAGGCCUUCGGGUUUGAAAGCACUUUCAGCGGGGAGGCGUUACCCGCAGAAGAAGCACCGGCUAACUCCGUGCCAGCAUCCGCGGUAAUAC